rnacentral:lncRNA from 1 species
CAACGGCCGAAAAGUCAGUUGAAAAAAUAGGAAAAAAAAAUGAAACUAAAAUUGAAUCUUUGGCCAUACAAAUCGUUGACCUAUUUUGGGCUGUCCCGUGGCCAUCCGAUGUUUCGGUUAUAUUUGGCUGAGCUUCAAGGAUAUGACAGCGUUCACUAAUUGAGAUGUUUUUCGCUUUUUGGUUGCUGAGACUUUCCCUAGCGUUAUGCAAGUGCAAAUGGAAUCAAAUGGGGGAUGGCCUGGAUGGAUGGUGGAUAGCCUACGCUGGUCUGGCCUGGAUGUAAAUGAAAUGAGUUGACGUAACAAUUAAUCCACUGCCAUGGCAACGGCAGGCACUCUCGUCUUGUGUAACAGUAUCCUGUGUCCUGGGCCCAAAACGUGCCACCAAUAAAACAUCCCCCAACGAUGAUGAGCGAUAAUUAAAUGCGGC